AAACCUAACUUUUAAAAAUGGGCGCAAAAUUCACAAAAAAAAAUUCCUUUGCCAAAAACUGCGAACAACUUAUUGAAGAAUCUAACCUCGCUCGUAUACUGAAACAAGAACACCGUCAAAUACUGGAAGACAAUGUUUCCUACUCUUGCAACGAAGCAUCCUAUUUUGACAACUGGUUAAGAUGCAGAGACCAGGACACACUGAACUUCGACCACAAUAGGGUAAUCCUCACUACAGAAGACGGCGAAAGCGACUUCGUAAACGCCAGCCAUGUCGACGGUUAUAACGUUAAGGGAAGGUUCCUGUGCACCCAGGCACCACUCCAAGAGACAGCUCAAGAUUUCUGGAAGAUGGUGUUCACUCAUCAAGUCCGGGUGAUCGUCAUGCUGACUAGAAUAGUAGAAAACGGGCGCGAGGUUUGUUACCCGUACUGGAAUCCCAAAAAGCGAGGAAAAGCUGUCCAUGGCAAGUUCAUCAUCAAAACUCUGAAAUUCAAAUACUUCCUUUACCACGUGGUGACCAGUCUACGAGUAACGGACGGCGCUAGACGUUAAGCACUUCGCCUACACCGACUGGCCUAGCAACAGCCAUCCUCGAGAUCCUUCAAAGUUUCUGGACUUCGUUCUUUCGGUCAAAGAGGCUCAAUUAAUGGCCGAUUUUGAUAGCAAGAUUGGAAACGUUCCUCCUAUGGUGGUUCACGGCAGCGCCGGUUUAAAUCGUACUGGGGCUUUUUGCGUUAUUGAUAUCUGUUUGUCUCAAUACGACGAGAGAGCAACGAUUAGCCUUUCUUCAGUAGUACGUAAUCUGCGUAAGCAAAGGCAUAACUGUUUGUCUUCGCCUGAAAACUAUGUCUAUCUGCUAUCUGACGGUUUUAGUGAAUGCUAAGUUAGUUGCUGAUAAGUCUUAGUCUAGAUCUUAUUUUAUUUAAUUGUAAUUCAUAUAAUUUCAAAUGUGAUAUGUAGUAUUAAAAAUAUUGUUCUAAGUAGCUAGCUUUAAAUAAAGUGUAUUUUGCGAUAAUACUCUGCUUUUUUUUUAACCGACUUCAAAAAAGGAGGAGGUUAUCAAUUCGGCCGGUAUGUUUUUUUUAUGUAUGUACACCGAUUACUCCGAGUUUCCUCAGUCCACUCUCCAUCCGGUGACAAGCCAACGGACGAAACUGUUGAGCUAUAAAGGAGAAAAAAUGUUUACUUAAAAAAACUCUUCAAGGCUUGAAACAAACACUACAAUAAGAAUACGAUAAUAUAUUUAGAUAUUUAAGCCAUGUUCCUAUCUCAAGGUUACCAUCUGCAGUAUGAGCUGUUUUAACCGUGAGUCAAGAUCAGACGCUGGACAAUCUCGCGAACAUGACAGAUAAAAUAUUGGAGAACAUGAAGGGAGAACAGAUUGCCGAAGUCCAUAGUUCCGGUAGUCAAAACCAGUUUCCAGUCAGCGAUUUGGUUACUCAGAUGCAUAAAAUUGGUCUAUAAGCGUACAUCCUAUAAGAAGGAGCGUAAAAAGGUGGCAGCUAACAAGACUAGUGGCGCUGGAAACGAUGAGGUGCAUACGCCAUCACUAUGGUACUACGAACACCUCAUUCUUGGACGAAAAAACCACGCCGACGACAGAGGUUAUUUGAUAAUAUGGAGACGAAUUCUUCCCAGUCAAAUAAUGAUGAGAUUCUACAAUCAUUUCACUAGGGAUAAGAUUACCCAGAGCAACCACAUGGAUGCAUUGAUAGUAUUCAAGAAGCCAUGAAGCGCCAGCGCAACAUGAAUAUAUUUUUUUCAAUAGGAAACCAUAUCAUACUUUCAUUUAAGUGCAAUAAAAAACAUUUAUAAAUCCAAAA